AACUUUGAGUCUCUGCUUGAUGUCUUCUGGUCUAGACAUGACCCCACCACCUUGAAUCGCCAGGGAAAAGAUGUGGGAACCCAAUACAGAUCAGGGAUAUACUUCUACACACCUGAGCAGGAGAAACUAGCGGUGGAGUCAAUGGAACGUCACCAGAAACAAAUGGAGAGUAAGAUCACGACUGAGAUUCUACCAGCUAAGAAAUUCUACAGAGCUGAGGAGUAUCAUCAGCAGUACCUGUCAAAGGGUGGGCAGUCCUGUGGCAUAGCCUGUAAUAGUCCACUCAUGUGCAGCGCUGCUACGGCUUGAAAAUGCUGAGUUUCCUCUCCCAAGACAGAGGAGUUUAGAGACGUGUUUGUUACACGACCAAAUCCCUAAUAAGUGUAACAAGUUACUUUCGUGUAUCAUGUUAGAGACUAUAAAUGUCUAUUGAUGUUAUUGAAUUAUUGAAUUUAAAGACUUGAGCGAAUCUUAUGGAAUAAAAAAAAGGAUGGAUAAGGUUUCUCUUA